rnacentral:tRNA from 1 species
GGUGGGUUACCCAAGUUGGUGAAGGGGACGGUUUGCUAAACCGUUAGGACGUUUAUGCGUCGCGAGAGUUCGAGCCUCUCACCCACCG